GGGGGCAUCCCGACUUACCAAACCGAUGCAAACUCCGAAUACCCAGAAGUGCCGAGCAUGGGAGACACACGGCGGGUGCUAACGUCCGUCGUGAAAAGGGAAACAACCCAGACCGCCAGCUAAGGUCCCAAAGUUGUGGUUAAGUGGUAAACGAUGUGGGAAGGCUUAGACAGCUAGGAGGUUGGCUUAGAAGCAGCCACCCUUUAAAGAAAGCGUAAUAGCUCACUAGUCGAGUCGGCCUGCGCGGAAGAUGUAACGGGGCUCAAACCACACACCGAAGCUGCGGGUGUCACGCAAGUGACGCGGUAGAGGAGCGUUCUGUAAGCCUGUGAAGGUGAGUUGAGAAGCUUGCUGGAGGUAUCAGAAGUGCGAAUGCUGACAUGAGUAACGACAAUGGGUGUGAAAAACACCCACGCCGAAAGACCAAGGGUUCCUGCGCAACGUUAAUCGACGCAGGGUUAGUCGGUUCCUAAGGCGAGGCUGAAAAGCGUAGUCGAUGGGAAACAGGUUAAUAUUCCUGUACUUCUGGUUACUGCGAUGGAGGGACGGAGAAGGCUAGGCCAGCUUGGCGUUGGUUGUCCAAGUUUAAGGUGGUAGGCUGAAAUCUUAGGUAAAUCCGGGGUUUCAAGGCCGAGAGCUGAUGACGAGUCGUCUUUUAGAUGACGAAGUGGUUGAUGCCAUGCUUCCAAGAAAAGCUUCUAAGCUUCAGGUAACCAGGAACCGUACCCCAAACCGACACAGGUGGUCGGGUAGAGAAUACCAAGGCGCUUGAGAGAACUCGGGUGAAGGAACUAGGCAAAAUGGCACCGUAACUUCGGGAGAAGGUGCGCCGGCUAGGGUGAAGGAUUUACUCCGUAAGCCCUGGCUGGUCGAAGAUACCAGGCCGCUGCGACUGUUUAUUAAAAACACAGCACUCUGCAAACACGAAAGUGGACGUAUAGGGUGUGACGCCUGCCCGGUGCCGGAAGGUUAAUUGAUGGGGUUAGCGCAAGCGAAGCUCUUGAUCGAAGCCCCGGUAAACGGCGGCCGUAACUAUAACGGUCCUAAGGUAGCGAAAUUCCUUGUCGGGUAAGUUCCGACCUGCACGAAUGGCGUAACGAUGGCGGCGCUGUCUCCACCCGAGACUCAGUGAAAUUGAAAUCGCUGUGAAGAUGCAGUGUAUCCGCGGCUAGACGGAGAGACCCCGUGAACCUUUACUGUAGCUUUGCACUGGACUUUGAGCCUGCUUGUGUAGGAUAGGUGGGAGGCUUUGAAGCGUGGACGCCAGUUCGCGUGGAGCCAUCCUUGAAAUACCACCCUGGCAUGCUUGAGGUUCUAACUCUGGUCCGUGAUCCGGAUCGAGGACAGUGUAUGGUGGGCAGUUUGACUGGGGCGGUCUCCUCCUAAAGAGUAACGGAGGAGUACGAAGGUGCGCUCAGACCGGUCGGAAAUCGGUCGUAGAGUAUAAAGGCAAAAGCGCGCUUGACUGCGAGACAGACACGUCGAGCAGGUACGAAAGUAGGUCUUAGUGAUCCGGUGGUUCUGUAUGGAAGGGCCAUCGCUCAACGGAUAAAAGGUACUCCGGGGAUAACAGGCUGAUACCGCCCAAGAGUUCAUAUCGACGGCGGUGUUUGGCACCUCGAUGUCGGCUCAUCACAUCCUGGGGCUGAAGCCGGUCCCAAGGGUAUGGCUGUUCGCCAUUUAAAGUGGUACGCGAGCUGGGUUUAGAACGUCGUGAGACAGUUCGGUCCCUAUCUGCCGUGGACGUUUGAGAUUUGAGAGGGGCUGCUCCUAGUACGAGAGGACCGGAGUGGACGAACCUCUGGUGUUCCGGUUGUCACGCCAGUGGCAUUGCCGGGUAGCUAUGUUCGGAAAAGAUAACCGCUGAAAGCAUCUAAGCGGGAAACUUGCCUCAAGAUGAGAUCUCACUGGGAACUUGAUUCCCCUGAAGGGCCGUCGAAGACUACGACGUUGAUAGGCUGGGUGUGUAAGCGUUGUGAGGCGUUGAGCUAACCAGUACUAAUUGCCCGUGAGGCUUGACCAU
rnacentral:rRNA from 1 species